CACGUAGGGGGCGAGCGUUGUCCGGAAUCAUUGGGCGUAAAGAGCUCGUAGGCGGCUCGGUAAGUCGGGUGUGAAACCCCCAGGCUCAACCUGGGGACGCCACCCGAUACUGCUGUGGCUAGAGUCCAGUAGGGGAGUGUGGAAUUCCCGGUGUAGCGGUGAAAUGCGCAGAUAUCGGGAGGAACACCAGCGGCGAAGGCGACUAUCUGGCUGACAACUGACGCUGAGACUCGAAAGCAUGGGGAGCAAACAGG
rnacentral:rRNA from 1 species